GAUGAAGAACGUAGCGAAAUGCGAUAAGUAAUGUGAAUUGCAGAAUUCAGUGAAUCAUCGAAUCUUUGAACGCACAUUGCGCCCGCCAGCAUUCUGGCGGGCAUGCCUGUUCGAGCGUCAUUUCAACCCUCGAGCCCCCCCGGGGGCCUCGGUGUUGGGGGACGGCACACCAGCCGCCCCCGAAAUGCAGUGGCGACCCCGCCGCAGCCUCCCCUGCCUAGUAGCACACACCUCGCACCGGAGCGCGGAGGCGGUCACGCCGUAAAACGCCCAACUUUCUUAGAGUUGACCUCGGAUCAGGUAGGAAUACCCGCUGAACUUAAGCAUAUCAAUAAGCGGAGGA
rnacentral:misc_RNA from 1 species